AAGACUCAAAUUUGUAUGGAGUUGGAACAGCUUCCCUACGUUUGCCGCUAGGGGCGCUGUUCCAACUCCAUACAAAAUUGAGUUA
rfam:Bombyx mori DNA, contig: Bm_scaf53_contig27085, strain: p50T/Dazao, build 2, whole genome shotgun sequence.